rnacentral:lncRNA from 1 species
AUGAUGGAGACCAAACUCUGGUUUGCCCUGUGUGCGCUGCUGCUCGUUAACUUGGCAGUGGCCGAACACGAUAAUGGCAACGUCACUGCUAAUACUGCUCCCAGCCAAGCUGCCCCAACACCAAAUACUGUCACGACCAAGUCCAGCACCGCCAGCACGCCUGCAGUCGGGAAAAACAUCACUCUGACACAUACGCCAAAGAACCAGAGCGAACCAACACCUUCUAUUGUGAGCAACGCCACCACCUCUCACCACCUCCCCACCACCAACGUGACAAACCCCUCACUCCAAAACCACACUGAGAACGAGAACGCCACGAGCCCCGCGCAACCCGCACACGUGCCCACCUCCACAUCCCUGCAGCCCCAAACGAACGCAUCCUCUCCUGCCGCGAAUGCCACGGAGCCAGCGGAGCCUAAAACCAGCCCCUCGGCUACAACCAGCAACACAACAAGUCCAGCAAACAGCACCCACCCCCUGCAGGAGCAGCCCACCAACAAGACACAGACUCCCUUAACGCCGCAGGCACAGGCCACCACUACGCAGAGCACGUCCACCAUCAGCCCAGCAGGCAACUCCACCACUGCGAUCAAAGCCAGCGCAUCGCAGCACAACGCGGGGGGCAACACGACAAUGUCCAGCCAGUCUUCCACUCUGAACUCGCUCCAGGCCGGCUUGGUGUCAGCCUUCGUCAUCGCCGCCGUCGUAAUCGCUCUACUCCUCUUCCUGAAGCUGCGCCGAAGAAACAGCCGACCAGCGUUCCGCAGGCUGCAGGAGGUACCUAUGGAUGAAAUGGAAGACACGCCUUUAUCCAUGUACACCUACUGA